UCAUCAGACUGCUUAAUAUUUUCUCUCUCUGAACAAAAAAACAAGCGAUACUGCGAUACAGAGAAAGGGAAGGAGGAAAAAAAAAAAAAUUGCAAUCCAGUGAAGAAUCGUGCGAUCAAACGUUCGUCCCAGAGGUAUUGAGAGAGAGGCGAUGAAAUCGAGAGAGAGGCUAUGAAGACACGGAGAAAGAAAUAGAAAAAGAGAGAAGCGAUGAAGACACGGUGAAACAAACAGAAAAAGAGAGAGGCGAUCCUAGUACACGGAGAAAGAAGAAAUCGCCUCUCUGUUUCUGACAGAAUGACUCUCUGCCCACAAACAACGCCUUUGAUGGGUUUUAUUCUUUUUCUGAUUUAUUUAUAGAGAUAGAAAUAGAGAAAGAGAGGCGAUGAGGCCUGGGACACAGAGAAAGAGGCAGAGUUCAGUUUCCCCACCACCAUCCGUUCCCUUUCCAGAUUUAGACCACUAGAUUGCCGGAACCGACAUCGACAACGGGGCACAUUUGCAUUAGACGAAAAUUUUGAAGAACAAAGUGGAUUUUAAUUAGAAAGUGUUGAAGCCCAAAUGAAGAUUUUUGGCAAAAACAAGUUUGAAGAGAAGCCAAUUUUGUAGCUAUCUGAAAUCUGGGCUGUACAUGAACCACUAACAAAUGUAGAAUCAAGGUAACUAUCGACUGUCAUUCACAUAGGCAACAAAGCUCUACAUCAACUUUGACAUUCCAAAAGUCACAAAGGAAAUUAUGCCAAAAGGAAGACUUGGAAGCAUAAAAAAUGCUUAAGAAUUAUGCACCAAGUUCUCUUCUCCGUACCCUUUUCUUAUUUACUUAAUUUUCUGUUUUAUUUCAGAUUAUGAGAGAUUUAAUUUUCUGUAUUUAGGCUAUGGUUUUGUAAUUUGAGCAUCCUAAGACUCUUAUAUCAACAUGAAUUUAAGUUUUGUAAUA